rnacentral:rRNA from 1 species
CGCGAAAGGGGGCAACCCUGAGUAGAGUGGCGGACGGGUGAGUAACGCGUAGGAAUCUACCUCGUAGUGGAGGACAACCCGGCAAAAGCCGGGCUAAUACCGCAUACGAUCCAUGGAUGAAAGCAGGGGACCGCAAGGCCUUGCGCUAUGAGAUGAGCCUGCGUCGGAUUAGCUAGUUGGUGGGGUAAAGGCCCACCAAGGCGACGAUCCGUAGCUGGUUUGAGAGAACGACCAGCCACACUGGGACUGAGACACGGCCCAGACUCCUACGGGAGGCAGCAGUGGGGAAUAUUGGACAAUGGGGGCAACCCUGAUCCAGCAAUGCCGCGUGUGUGAAGAAGGCCUUCGGGUUGUAAAGCACUUUCAGUGGGGACAAACAAGGCGGAGCUAACAUCUCCGUCCCUGAUGGUACCCAAAGAAGAAGCACCGGCUAACUCUGUGCCAGCAGCCGCGGUAAUACAGAGGGUGCAAGCGUUAAUCGGAAUUACUGGGCGUAAAGCGUGCGUAGGGUGGUUUGUUAAGUCAGGUGUGAAAUCCUGGGGCUCAACCUCAGAAUUGCGCUUGAUACUGGCAGACUCGAGUGUGGUAGAGGGAUAGUGGAAUUCCCGGUGUAGCGGUGA